rnacentral:misc_RNA from 1 species
GUGGUCUAGAGGUAUCAACCUGGAUGCUUAUAUUCUGAAAUUGCAUUUUGUAGGAUUAGUCACAUGUAUGUGAUGAAAUGAUUGUUUGGACUUGCAAUAUAAUAUGAUUAUAGUUAUCACAUUGACAUUAUCUCCUAUUUAUGUAAGUUAGCUCAUCUAUUUGGCAAGUUUAAUCGUACUUCAUCUAUUGGAGCAGCAAUAGACAAAACAUACCAUAUAUAUUUAGUCAUCUUUUGCUAAUUAACUCAAUAAAGAACAUGGUAUAAUGGUUUUGAUAACGAACUGAGCUAAUCAUCUUUUGCCAAUCAAUCAAGGCUGACAGUGUUCUUCUUUCCCUCCCCAUUUUGUAUAUCUUUUUAUUCCCUCUUUUAGACUGCCUUCUGAAAUGUUUCUUUUGUUUCCUCAUUGUAUUAUUUCUAUAGUGCGAAUCUUACAGAUAUUUGCUUUUGAACAUAACCUAAAGAGAAAAUGCUUUUUUUUAUUCAUUAGAAUUUUGGCUUUUUAACUUCUUUUGCCCCAUGGUGGGAAGACUUGGGUCCAUU